AUGGAAUACACAAUUGUAGUAGCUGAAAUGGCAGAUUCACCUGCUACAUUACAAUACCUUGCUCCUUAUACGGGAGCAACCCUGGCUGAGUAUUUUAUGUACCGCGAACGGCAUACUUUAAUAAUUUAUGAUGAUCUCUCCAAACAGGCACAAGCUUAUCGCCAAAUGUCCCUUCUAUUAAGUCCCGGCCGUGAGGCUUAUCCAGGGGAUGUUUUUUAUUUGCAUUCACGCCUUUUAGAAAGAGCCGCGAAAUUAAAUUCUCUUUUAGGCGAAGGAAGUAUGACCGCUUUACCAAUAGUUGAGACUCAAUCUGGAGACGUUUCCGCCUAUAUUCCUACUAAUGUAAUCUCCAUUACAGAUGGACAAAUAUUCUUAUCUGCGGAUCUAUUCCAUGCCGGAAUUCGACCCGCUAUUAAUGUGGGUAUUUCAGUUUCCAGAGUAGGAUCCGCGGCUCAAAUUAAAGCCAUGAAACAAGUAGCUGGCAAAUCCAAAUUGGAACUAGCUCAAUUCACAGAGUGA
rnacentral:rRNA from 1 species